rnacentral:rRNA from 1 species
AACGAACGCUGGCGGCAGGCCUAAUACAUGCAAGUCGAACGGGCGUAGCAAUACGUCAGUGGCGGACGGGUGAGUAACACGUGGGAACAUGCCUUUCGGUUCGGAAUAACGCAGGGAAACUUAGCGCUAAUACCGGAUGACCCGGCGGACGGAAAAGAUUUAUCGCCGAAGAUUGGCCCGCGUAGGAUUAGCUAGUUGGUGAGGUAACGGCCCACCAAGGCGACGAUCCUUAGCUGGUUUGAGAGAACGAUCAGCCACACUGGGACUGAGACACGGCCCAGACUCCUACGGGAGGCAGCAGUAGGGAA